rnacentral:rRNA from 1 species
UACAGAGGGUGCAAGCGUUGUUCGGAAUUAUUGGGCGUAAAGGGCGUGUAGGCGGUCUGCUAAGUCAUGUGUGAAAUCCCUCGGCUUAACCGAGGAACGACGCAUGAAACUGGCAAGCUAGAGUACCAAAGAGGGGGGUGGAAUUCCCGGUGUAGCGGUGAAAUGCGUAGAUAUCGGGAGGAACGCCAGUGGUGAAGACGACUACCUGGACCAAUACUGACACUGAGGCGCGAGAGCGUGGGGAGCGAACAGG